rnacentral:rRNA from 1 species
UACGAGGGGUCCUAGCGUUGUUCGGAAUCAUUGGGCGUAAAGAGUCUGUAGGCGGCCAUGUAAGUCAGGUGUGAAAGCCCCGGGCUCAACCCGGGAAGUGCAUUUGAUACUGCAUGGCUUGAAUGUUGGAGAGGAUAGUAGAAUUCCUGGUGUAGUGGUGAAAUACGUAGAUAUCAGGAGGAAUACCGGUGGCGAAGGCGGCUCACUGGCCCGGUACUGACGCUGAGGUGCGAAAGCGUGGGGAGCAAACAGG